AUGUUAAAACUGCAAUGUUAAAUGUGAUGUAACACUUAAAUGGACUUGAAACGGACUUUGUUCCUACUCUAGUGAUAGUGCCAUUGUUUGUUCUAAUCUCAUGUGUGUCUAGCUCCUAAUGGCUGGAAGUCCAACAAGGUGGGUGAUUUGCUUUCAGCCACGUUUUGAAUGCAGUAUGCCUAAACGAUUUAGAUUUGUCUUAUUUGAAGCAGUGAAAAUUUGGGAACUUUUGGAGAAAAUAUUAGACACAACAAGGUUCAUACAAAAACUGAGAUUUAAAGAAGCCUCCGUAAUGUUCCGCUUCACACUUCUAUGGUCAAAGUCAUGCUGAGCCACAUAUUAUUUAUGAUCGCAUGACCGCAGUGGAGUGAUUCAGAGAGACAUAUAUUUAUGAAAGGGAUUUAAAUCAGAAUAGGAUUUUAUUUGAAUUUGCUUUAGUAAUUUAAGUACUGAUUGAUGCAUCUGAUGUGUUGUUUCAUAUCUAAGGUGCACUCUUGACGUCUAAUACCUUUCAUCCUCAGGAUACAGGACUUGGAGAAAUCACUUACAAGUGCUGUCAGAACUGUUGCUUCAUCUGUCUGUAGUUUCUCAGUAACGUGGUUGUGAGCCUGACAAUGUCAAAUUCUCACCCUUCUGGUUUAAUUGUAUGUGAAGGUGGCAGAUCCUGUGGUGUUGCUUCGGGAUAGUAAAAGUGCAAUUUAGAGUGACUUUAUUCUACACUAUAGUCUCAUAAAAAAGAAGGAUGCUACUAUAGCCCUCAAAUCAGAUGUCUUGUGUAAGUAAAAAGACUUCAGUUAGAUUUAAUCUACAAAUAUAGAUUAGUCAAAUCAGAAUCACUAAUCAAGAUUACAUCCUCUAUUUUGUAAAGAAAUUGUUUGAGAGGCAAAUAUUUCCAUUCAACGGCAAAUGAUGCUUGCUCAUUUAUUUCAAAUGAUCAGUGGAGUCUGAUGCAAAGUAUUUCUUCUCUUUGUCAAUAAUUCUUCUUUAUGCCAUAUAUUUAUGUGUUUGGAGUAUUUUAAAAUUAGUUUUGCCUGGUGUAAUCUCAGGGGCUAUAUCAGUGAUUUUUUCUUUUGAGAGGUUUGUCUUUAACCCUUAAGGAGUUAUGAGAUACACAUUAUACAAUAAAUGUAACAUUAAAAUCAA